rnacentral:rRNA from 1 species
ACCAAAGUAUGGCCUCUACUUGUAAGCUAUCGCUGAGGGAUGGCCUGCGGGCCAUUAGCUUGUUGGUGAGGUAACGGCUCACCAAGGCUGUGAUGGCUAGCUGGUCUGAGAGGAUGACCAGCUACACUGGGACUGAGACACGGCCCAGACUCCUACGGGAGGCAGCAGUGGGGAAUAUUGCGCAAUGGGCGAAAGCCUGACGCAGCGACGCCGCGUGGGUGAUGAAGGCCUUCGGGUCGUAAAGCCCUGUCGCAGGGGAAGAAUAAGCAUCGGUAUAAUACGCCGGUGCCCUGACGGUACCCUGCAAGAAAGCACCGGCUAACUCCGUG